AGGGAAUAUUAGAAAUGGACGAAAGUCUGAUCUAGCAACACCGCGUGUGCGAUGAAGGCCUUCGGGUCGUAAAGCACUUUUUGGAAGGAAUAGGAAGGAAUGUACUUCCAGAAUAAGUCUCGGCUAACUACGUGCCAGCAGCCGCGGUAACACGUAGGAGGCAAACGUUAUCCGGAUUUACUGGGCGUAAAGCGCGCGUAGGUGGUACUGUAAGUAGGGCGUGAAAGCUCCUGGCUCAACUGGGAGAAGCCGUUCUAAACUACAGAACUAGAGGAUGGUAGAGGGAGGUGGAAUUCCAGGUGUAGCGGUGGAAUGCGCAGAUAUCUGGAGGAACACCGGUGGCGAAGGCGGCCUCCUGGACCAUUCCUGACACUCAGACGCGAAAGCUAGGGUAGCAAACGG
rnacentral:rRNA from 1 species